rnacentral:tRNA from 1 species
GACUGGGUGGCUCAGUGGUUUGAGCUGUGGUCCAGUAACCAGUAGGUUGUUGGUUUAAACCCAGCUCAGGUCA